rnacentral:rRNA from 1 species
UACGGGAAGAACCUUACCKACCUUUGACAUGUACGGAAUUCGCCAGAGAUGGCUUAGUGCUCGAAAGAGAACCGUAACACAGGUGCUGCAUGGCUGUCGUCAGCUCGUGUCGUGAGAUGUUGGGUUAAGUCCCGCAACGAGCGCAACCCUUGUCAUUAGUUGCUACAUUUAGUUGGGCACUCUAAUGAGACUGCCGGUGACAAACCGGAGGAAGGUGGGGAUGACGUCAAGUCMUCAUGGCCCUUAUAGGUAGGGCUACACACGUCAUACAAUGGAUGGUACAAAGGGUCGCCAACCCGCGAGGGGGAGCCAAUCCCAUAAAGCCAUUCGUAGUCCGGAUCGCAGUCUGCAACUCGACUGCGUGAAGUCGGAAUCGCUAGURAUCGUGGAUCAGAAUGUCACGGUGAAUACGUACCCU